AUUUUAACUGCCAUUCUGGCAACUGAACGUUGGCAGUAAACGCAGCUUAGUUGUCUCAGAGGACUCACAAUGGGAUGUGCUUAUAGUUGUUGCCUCGAAGUGUGUUGUGGCAAGGAUGAAAUAGUGUAUCCUAGGAUGCCAGGGGAAUCCACCGUCUGCCACCGCGAGCGUGAGAAGCCAAUCACCUAUCACUGGUAUCACUGGCAUCCCGGCCAUAUAUACCCUAGAGUUGCAUCAAUGGAAGAUUACGAUGAGGACCUGGUGCAGGAAGCUUCAUCUGAAGAUGUCCUGGGCGUUCAUAUGGUGGACAAAGACACAGAGAGAGACAUUGAGAUGAAACGGCAACUACGGCGACUACGGGAGCUCCACCUAUACAGCACAUGGAAGAAGUACCAAGAGGCGAUGAAGACAUCCUUGGGAGUUCCACAACGUGGUGACCUGGAAGACCUGGAGGAGCAUCUGCCAGGGCAGACAGUCUCUGAGGAAGCCACAGGGGUUCACAUGAUGCAGGUGGACCCAGCCACACCGGCAAAGAAAUUGGAAGACUCCACCAUUACAGGCAGCCACCAGCAGAUGUCAGCAAGUCCUUCCUCUGCA
rnacentral:lncRNA from 1 species